CCUACGGGAGGCAGCAGUGGGGAAUAUUGGGCAAUGGGCGCAAGCCUGACCCAGCAACGCCGCGUGAAGGAAGAAGGCUUUCGGGUUGUAAACUUCUUUUCUGGGGGACGAACAAAUGACGGUACCCCAGGAAUAAGCCACGGCUAACUACGUGCCAGCAGCCGCGGGAAUACGUAGGUGGCAAGCGUUAUCCGGAUUCAUUGGGUGUAAAGGGCGUGUAGGCGGGAAUGCAAGUCAGAUGUGAAAACUCAGGGCUCAACCCUGAGCCUGCAUUUGAAACUGUGUUUCUUGAGUGCUGGAGAGGCAAUCGGAAUUCCGUGUGUAGCGGUGAAAUGCGUAGAUAUACGGAGGAACACCAGUGGCGAAGGCGGAUUGCUGGACAGUAACUGACGCUGAGGCGCGAAAGCGUGGGGAGCAAACAGGAUUAGAUACCCCAGUAGUC
rnacentral:rRNA from 1 species